UCUUUUACCAUGAUCGCCCUCGAUCUUCAAAUCUAGGGUUAUGGACAGAUAGAGAGAGAAAGAAAGAUAGGAGAUGAGAGAGAAGAGAAGAUAGGACAAACAUUCGAAGUAAUUAACUAAGAUUGAAGAGAGCAUUGAUGGGAGAGAAGGAAUCGUAGAGGCUCAUGUGGGCACUAAGAAAGAUGAGGAAACUUUGUUUUGUCCUAACCUGUUUACGUACCGACACUUCAUUCACAAUUCCUCCAUUUCCCAUGCUCUCUUUUUAUGGAAUAUAUAAUUUCAAAUUGUUUCAAUAGUUCUUGAAUUUCUUUAAACGACAUGAAUUUCUUUGGUUAAGAGAAUCUUUUGUCGAGUUCUACUUCUUCCAAGAAA